rnacentral:lncRNA from 1 species
AUAAACACAUUCAUCUAUGUUUGUGGCACAGUGUGCUCACAAUAAUCAUUCCGAUGCUUUCUCUUUUUUCUUAAUUAUAAUUCUGAUAUAAAUUAUCUAGUAUUUAGUUAGCUGUUAAUGGUUCCUUCUUUUUUUUUUGUUACAGUCAUGAUAUGAAUUAUCCAGUAUUUAGUUAGUCGUUGAUGGCCUCUUCCACUCAGGCAUGCCCUCCAUCAGAUGAGAAACUUCCCACUGUUUUUCAUGCAGCGAAACCCCUAGAACAUAGAAAAGCUUUAGGCUGGUUGCUGCACUGAUGUUGUUUUUCAUCUAGCUUUGGAAGAUCUGCCUGUUCUCUGGGAGCACUUUUGCAUAACUGUGUAAGUACCACAUACAAAAAGUAGUGUUGCCUGAUUUAAGCUUAUGGUGUGUUGAAAGUGGAAAUACAGUUGACUCUAUGUAAUUCUAGCUCUCUAUUUCCUAUGUGUGUGGAGACAUAAGUUUGACACUCAGAUUAUUUUAGGUCCCAGGAAAGACUAUGAAGGAUACAUUUUGAUGAUGUGAAGAGUUUCACAUUAGCCUUUUAUUAAACUCUCCAUUGUUUAGGCUUCAUGCAUGUCUAUACACCACUGGGUUAGAAGAUAAAGAUAUAGCACACAGUAUUAAUGUACUCACAAGUAAUGAGGAUUCAGAUUUAACAGCAGUGACAGAAAAUGUUCUAGAAUGUAGUAAAGUGAGUUUAUGACAGAGACUUAUUUUAAUUGUUUAAUUUUGAUAUUAAAGGAAAAUAACUAAUUUAUCUUAAGGGUUACAGCAAUAAGAUAUUUGAAAUUUCUAGGCAACAGCUUCCUGGAAGAAUUAUUAUUUCUUUUUAGUGUAGUGUGGCAUAGAAAAUGCCAAGCUAAUGAGGAAAGGUGUGACUUAUACAAAGGGUUGUAAAAGCAUGGGGAAAUAUUUACAUACCUUUAAAGACAGUUGAUAGAAUUAAGAUGGGAAAGAUGCCAAUUUCUAAUUUAAUUGAAGAAUAAUUAUUAUGUAACAGAUUUAAAUUAAUCAACCUAGA